UGGGGAAUAUUGCGCAAUGGGCGAAAGCCUGACGCAGCGACGCCGCGUGAGGGAUGACGGCCUUCGGGUUGUAAACCUCUUUCGACCGGGACGAAGCGCAAGUGACGGUACCGGUAGAAGAAGCACCGGCUGACUACGUGCCAGCAGCCGCGGUAAUACGUAGGGUGCGAGCGUUGUCCGGAAUUAUUGGGCGUAAAGAGCUCGUAGGCGGUUUGUCGCGUCGGCCGUGAAAACCUGGGGCUUAACUCUGGGCUUGCGGUCGAUACGGGCAGACUUGAGUUCGGUAGGGGAGACUGGAAUUCCUGGUGUAGCGGUGAAAUGCGCAGAUAUCAGGAGGAACACCGGUGGCGAAGGCGGGUCUCUGGGCCGAUACUGACGCUGAGGAGCGAAAGCGUGGGGAGCGAACAG
rnacentral:rRNA from 1 species